GGAAAUAAAUGUCAGACGCAGACGCACUUCUGCUGAAUAGAAUGUAGAGGACGCAAAAAGUUAAGGGAUCCGUUUCGAGCACUUGAAGUUACACAUCUGCAUUGGCCUGGCCAACGCCAGUGCCAUUCUAAUUAAAGAAAAGCUGAAAGGGCGCGACAGCAGCUACUCUAUUUUCUCUCUGUGCACUGCUAUGUGCAUGUCCGUAUUUAUAUGCCAUAAUCAGCAUUAUAUGCCCGUCAUGUUGUUCUCUCGCUUUUUCGCCAUGCCAUUGUAGUGCUAAUGAUGAUGAAGUUGUCCUUAAAUGCCCGGCCAACUCAGCCAGAUCCAGAUGCUGCGGCGGCAUUUGGCACUUGCCACUUGGAGCGGGAACUUGGACCAGGAUUUGGGGGCAGGACUCACUUGGCAUGCUGGUCAGCCGGCGCUUGUACACUUGUAAUGAAAAGUAAUUUGGGCCAUAUUCGCUUGAUUGUGCGUAUUUUGUUUGUGGACUCAAUUCAGAAUCCGAAUUCGUCGUGGGGGCGGACAAAGGCGUUUCCAAGUAAUAAUUGCGUACAAAAUUAAUGAACGUGCUUUUGCGUGGAAAAUUUGAUUAAAGUGCUCAUUAAUUCCAAUUGUCGGGCAAUUUGCCGGGGCCAAAGAUGAAGCUUAACCGUGUGAGGAUUCCUCCAAUCGAAAGUCAAGUAUUUAGGCAUUCAUUGCGUUCCUAAUUGUGUAUUCAGAGCCAAAGGCUUGGGCAUUUAAUUGAAUAUCUACAAACUUGGCCUAAACUCGAUUAUUAUUUUAUAGCCGCAAGGCCAGAGAUGCUGGUGCCAGUGACUCAAAAAUUGCCAAUGCAUUAUGCAAUUCGAUUUGCAUGUUUCUGAUUGCCUGGCAAAAGCACAGAGAGCCUCACACAAACACACACAGUCGCAGCCUUGUAAUUGAAAUUGAUAGCAGCAAAAUGAAAUUUGUGACAUUUAUGUUGAUAAAUUGUGUUUGUGACAACAGCCUGAAACUGAAACGGCAGCAAAUAAAUGCGAAAUUUCAACUGUCCAAGCACAAACAAAAUAAUGCAACGCAAGCAAAUACUCAAGAAAAUGUCAAAAAGUGAAGCUGCAAACACGAAAGCCCCCAACUCCCCAAAAAUCCCACCCGCAAUUCGAUGGCCAAUAUUUGAGGCUUCUUGUCUCUCGUAUGUUCAACAAGCAAUAUCGCACAAUAAAUCCAAAACUAAAAUACA
rnacentral:sRNA from 1 species